GAUGAACGCUGGCGGCGUGCUUAACACAUGCAAGUCGAACGGAAGUUUUAAAAGGAAGUUUUCGGAUGGAAUUUUAAAACUUUAGUGGCGGACGGGUGAGUAACGCGUGGGUAACCUGCCGUAUACAGGGGGAUAACACUUAGAAAUAGGUGCUAAUACCGCAUAAGCGCACAGCAUCGCAUGAUGCAGUGUGAAAAGCUCCGACGGUAUACGAUGGACCCGCGUCUGAUUAGCUAGUUGGUGAGGUAGAGGCUCACCAAGGCGACGAUCAGUAGCCGGCCUGAGAGGGUGACCGGCCACAUUGGGACUGAGACACGGCCCAAACUCCUACGGGAGGCAGCAGUGGGGAAUAUUGCACAAUGGGGGGAAACCCUGAUGCAGCGACGCCGCGUGAGUGAAGAAGUAUUUCGGUAUGUAAAGCUCUAUCAGCAGGGAGAAAAUGACGGUACCUGACUAAGAAGCCCCGGCUAACUACGUG
rnacentral:rRNA from 1 species